AGACGUCUACAUUAGAUACCCGUGUAGUCCCAGCCGUAAACUAUGCGCGUUAGGUGUAUCGGUGACCACGAGUCACCGAGGUGCCGAAGGGAAACCGUGAAACGUGCCGCCUGGGAAGUACGGUCGCAAGGCUGAAACUUAAAGGAAUUGGCGGGGGAGCACCGCAACGGGAGGAGCGUGCGGUUUAAUUGGAUUCAACACCGGAAAACUCACCAGUGAAGACUGUUACAUGAAAGCCAGGCUGAUGACCUUGCUAGAUUUUCAG
rnacentral:rRNA from 1 species